AGGUUCACAUUAUUUGUUGUUUACUCGGAUUCCUGUCGAGCCAGCGCCAGCUUGCUCAGAUCCACCUUGAGUUCAAGAGCAAGUGCUCUCCUCGGUUACACAACCCAGCCGCAGCAGCUGCGGCGUCUGCUUGACACACCGAAUUACUGUCUCUCCCCAAAGAGACGGGACGCAGACCUAAAGCGCUGACUGGGAAGUGCCCUACCUGGGCAGCCUUGGAAACCUCUUCAAGUCCUGAAGUGUCUGUGGAGCAAAUUGUCCUUGAAAAUGAGCCAGGACACAUCCCUCAAAAUUCUGGAUGCUGCAACUGAGGGCCCCUAGGAAAACUGGCUACUGCCUCCAUCCUGCAGCCUCCCACUGUGCCAGUUCACUGGUCUCAAGCUGCAGACUGUGCAUUUCUCCCAGGCAUCAGCUAUCCAUCCAUCCAUCCAUCCAUCCAUCCAUCCAUCCAUCCAUCCAUCCAUCCAUCCAUCCAUCCAUCCAUCCAUCUCCACUAGCCACUACCCAUCAGUGGUGCCCUUAGCAGGAGCCCCAUAUUGUCCUCUCUCAGAAUCAGACUCACUCAAUAGAGUCAAAACCCAGGGGCAGCCAUUUUUUAUGCGCAAUUUCUGAUACUGGUGGUGCUGGGCCCAGGUCUGAAGGCCACAGAGUGAGAGGAGUUUGACCCAGGAACUUGUAGACCUUUGGUUUCCAUCACCAGGCUCACCUUGUGCUCAAGCAGGAGUGGAAGAGGAGUGACUCAGACUCACAGAAUCAGUGGGGUUGGAAAAGACCUCUGAGAUCAUCGAGUCCAACCCAAACGCCACCUUGUCAACCAGACCACGGCACUCAGUGCCAGGUCCCAUCUUUCCUUAAACAUCUCCAGGGACAGUGACUCCACUGCCUCCCUGGGCAAUCCAUUCCAAUGUUUAACAACCCUUUCCAUGAGGAAUUUCCUCCUGAUGUCCAACCUGAACCUCUCCUGGUGCAGCUUGAGGCUAAUCCUCAUUAGAUCCCUGGGAGAAGAGGCUGCCCCCGCCUUGCUGCAACCCUUGCAGGUGUCUGCAGAGAGCAGGGGUGAGGAUCAGGGGCCUGGGGAGGUGGCUCUGGCUGCAUGGCCCGGGCAGUGGCGCAGUGCCAGGCGAGGACAAGCUGUUCCCUGGCUCCUUAUUGUUACCAGAUGAGUGGGGGACGUUUACGAUCGCUGGGUAUGGAUAAUCAAAUUCUGACUGGGACAGAGGAAGGAGAGCUGCCCUCCUCUUCCCUCCUGCACCCCACACCAGGCACUCAGCCCCCUGCCCUCCCACAGGGCUUUGUUCCUGGACGUGACUGUGGAUCCCACACCCCCACGACGCCCUGCUCUGUCUGGGGUUAUUGUGUGCUGCCCAGAACAAUGUGCUGUGGUUAGGGAUGCCUGGGAGAGCGCCGGGAGGCUCCCUGCUCCCCCUCUCCCUGCUAGUGCUGGGGGAGGCAGCUUUUGGCCAUCUGGUAGCUGUGGGUUUGGUGGAGGUCCCCCAGCAGGGGAGGAGAUGCAAUCACCAGUGCUGUUCCUAGAGAGGAAAGCCAGCAUUUGGCACUGCUGAGCCACAGAUGCGCUGUGUGUCUUGGGCAUGGGAUGGCCUUGGGCACUGUAGCAUGACAGGAGAGCUCAUGUGGGAGGGGACUGCAGGAGGUCUCCAGCCCAACCUCUUCAUCCUGCCAGCUCCUGGGUCAGACCAGGUUGCUCGGGGCUUUAGUGAGUUGGUUCUUAGAGACCUUCAAGGCUGGAGGCAGCACAGCCUUUCUGGACACCCUGUAUCGGUGCUGAACUGACCUCCUCAUAGUGGGAACAGUUUUCUCAUAUCCAGUCUGAACCUCUCUGGCUUCAGCUUAUGUCCAGUGUCUAUUGAGUUCCCCUUGUGCACCUCUGUGUACAGCUUGAGUUCAUCAUCUCCAUAUCCUCCUUGCAGGUACACCAGAGCUUCUCUUCUCCAGCCCUGCACGCUCAGCCUCCCCUCGCAGGCUGUGUGAUCCCACAGGGCUGUGUGAGCUCUGGUUGUCCUGAUGGCCUUUCCCUGGGCUCUUUCCCAUGUGUCUCCAUCUCUCUUGUACUGGAGGCUGUUGCAGUACCCAGUCAUGGUGUCAGCAGGGCUGAGCAGAGGGGAGGAGUGGCCUUCUCUACCUGCUGGCAAUGCUCUGCCUAAUGCAGCCCGAGGGCCUGCUUGCCUUCUUUGCUGUGAUGAUGCAUUGCUGACUCAGUGCCCUUUCUGCACAGCUGCUCCUCCACCAGUCACCCCAGCCUGUGUUGUAGCCUGGGGGUUAUUCCUUCCCGGACCCUGGACAUGGCAUUUGCCCUGGAUGAAGUCCAUGAAUAUCCUUGCAGUAUCAAGUCAAAGAGAGUGAGGAGGCAGCAAGUGUCUUGUGGACUUCCCCGAGUCACAGCGACUUUCACUUUGUAAUGGUUUGGAAAGUCCCAUCUAGCAGACCAUACCCUCACCUUAGAGGGGAAAAAUCUGCUUUUUUGGGAUGUUGUGAUGGCUGGAAGCUCAGGCAGGAAUAGGGGUCAGGGAUAUAACCAGGAAUCAGAGCCACCCAGCGCUGAGGUGGGGACUUGGGGAACACUGGGGGACACAGGGCUUUUCACACCAAUCUGUCAUAUGCAAAACCCUCAGGAGCUAGGGGCUUCUGUGUCCUCCAGUGGCAUGGUACAGACAGGAGGGAAGGGCAAAUGUGUGCUUCCUGGCUUUGGGAGUCCCUUUGGCUGCCUGGGUGAGAUGUCCCUCCACAAACGUUCUGUUUACACAGCCCUUCUGAGUCGGGCAUUUGUGCAUUGCAGGAGCUGAGCUUUGCAUCGUUUGGACUUUUUCUUGCUGGUUGUUUCCCCUUGUGCCCAGGUCCCCCUGGAGUCCACUCUCAGACAGUUUGGUGUGGGGCAUGUUUGGUCUGGGAUUUGUUAAUCACCUUCCUUUACUGUGUGAGUCUUUGGCCAACGAGCAUGUCAGGAGAUGGGCAUUGCCUUGGUGGAGACAAGGCAGGAUAAUGUUCUUCUCUGAGGAAUAUCCAGGGAGAGCAGGAUCCUUACAGGCUCUUGUGAGACCCCAUCUGGAGAGCUGUGUCCAGAACUGGGGUCCUCAGAACAAGAAAGACAUGGAGUUGUUGGAACGGGUCCAGAGGAGACCACAGAGAAGCUCAAAGGGCUGGAGCCCCUGUCCUUUGCAGACGGACUGGGAGAGUUGGGGUGGAUCAGCCUGGAGAAGAGAAGGCUCUGGGAAGACCUUAGAGAGCUUCCCAGUAAUUGAAGAGAGCUUAUAAAAAAGAGGGAGAGCAGCUUCUUACAUGAGUAGAUACUAAUAGGACAGAGGGGAAUGUUUGUAAACUAAGAGACAAGAGUUUUAGUCUAAAUGUUAGGAAGAAAUUCUUUACUCAGAGACUGGUGAGGUCCUAGCACAGAUUGUCCAGAGAAGCUGUAGAUCCCUGGAAGUGUUCAGGGCCAAGUUGGAUGGAGCUUGGAGCAACCUGGUCUGGUGGGUGGCAUCCCUGCCCAUGGCAGAGAGGUUGGAACGAGAUGAUCUUUAGAGGUUCAUCCAACCCAAACCAUUCCAUCAUUCAUGUGAAGUGGGACAUGUAGGAACACGUCAUUGCUUUUCUGGGGAUGAAGACAAAGACCCCCUUGGCUCCCAUUCUUCUCCAGCUUACCACAGCAGCAGUGCAGGGUCUCACCCUCGCCAUAGAAAGGUCCCUUCCCCAGACCAGAGUAUUUAUUCCCAGGACUUCCCCGCCCCAGGGCUGCUCAUUCAUCUCUUGCAGACAGAAUGGAGCCUGUCACAAGAGCAGAUGCAGAGCAGGCAGAGCUCCCCAUGAGACCCUUCACCACUAGAGAUGAUAAACAGAUGGGGAAAUCUGCUGGGAAAUGCAUUGACGUAAGGAGGUGAGAGGCUGGAGCAGUGUCCCCAAGGAGGUGCAAACGCUGAGAAAGCUGCAUGCAGAGCCCGGUGCACAAUGGCUCUUUGAUAUCCCCAGACGCUGCUAAUGGGCCGUUUCCUCUCCCAGCCCUCCCUGUGGAACAGAGAUGUCUUGCUGGAUGUUUUGCCCUCCCCUUAUCUGUCUCCCUGACUGAUCUCUGGGAUUUCCUCUGAUCAGGCUGCUGGGUCAUCCCAGGCUAGUGUCCCUCGCAGGAUCCCUCUGUCCCCAGAGCUGCUGUGGCCAGAAGCAUUUUCCUUCAGAGGAUAACUGCAGCAGAUGUGAAGGGAGCGUGGAGAAGCCUCAGCCUUCCCAUCUGGAGGGAGAAUUGGGCUCAGGUACUUCAGGACUUCAAUCUGACCAAACAGCCAUCCUUGGGGGGGGUUUACACCAGGACUGCACCCUGCUGCAUCGAUCCUUCUUGGAAGGAUGAGGCCAUCUAUGCAAUUAUUUGUAUAAUCUAUGUGAUACACCUCUCCCUUUCCCUCCAGAAAUUAAAUGUGGGAGUCCCUGGCAGCCCACUCUCCCAGCCAGGCAUCCAGGAGAGCAAUCCUGAGACCACCACACUGGGCACAGCAGAGACAGGCACAUGCCUGAGAAAUUCAUCCCUACAGAUUCAAGGUGCUGAGCAGGUCUUUAUUAUCAAAUUUUAAUUACCGUGGCUGAAUUUUUAAUAGAGCAAUUGUGCAAUUCCACUUUAGAUCCCAUCCCCUAGGCCAGGUUGCUCGCGUCACACUCCCUGAUGCUGCGGCUGUGAGUUUUUUUGGCUAAUGCAGCAAAAAUUCUUAUUGGAUUUGGAAAUAGAAGAAAUUAGUUGCCCUGGGGGAAGGGGAGGCAGAGGUCUGCCUGGCAUGCAGAGCUGCCAGGAGGCUCUGACAGCCAGACAUAUAUUGCUGUUUAUAAUACUUAAUAGCGAGCAGCUCUACAAAGUCCUUUCUUUAUUCAUUUCUCUCCCUAGCACUUCACAGCAUGCAAUAACUUGGAUUUAUAAAUUAAACAUGUUCCUUGUUUUAAUACAUCAUCUACUUCUUAUUCCUUAGUCCCAUAAUGGGAUUUUUAAUUGCCUGUCAUAGAAUCGUGCAUCCUCCU